rnacentral:rRNA from 1 species
GACGGAGGGGGCUAGCGUUGUUCGGAAUGACUGGGCGUAAAGGGCGCGUAGGCGGCUUUUUAAGUGAGGCGUGAAAGCCCUGGGCUUAACCCAGGAGGUGCGUUUCAUACUGAAAAGCUUGAGUACGAGAGAGGAAAGUGGAAUUCCUAGUGUAGAGGUGAAAUUCGUAGAUAUUAGGAAGAACACCUGCGGUGUAGACGGCUUACUGGACCGUAACUGACGCUGAGGCACGAAAGCGUGGGUAGCAAACAGG